AAUUAAACGGCCGCGGUACCCUAACCGUGCAAAGGUAGCGUAAUCAUUUGUCUAUUAAUUGUAGACCCGUAUGAAAGGCAUAAUGAGGGUUUAACUGUCUCUUUUAGUAAAUCAAUUAAACUGAUCUCCUAGUCCAAAAGCUAGGAUACCAACAUAAGACCAGAAGACCCUGUGAAACUUUAACUAAAAUAUUAAAACCUAUAAUAACUACUUUAGGUUGGGGCGACCUUGGAAAAUAAAAGAACUUCCACACACAUAUUAUAUAAUAAUAUAUAACCGGCCAACAAGCCUACAACGACCCAGCACAGCUGACAAUUGAACCAAGCUACUCCAGGGAUAACAGCGCUAUCUUCUUCAAGAGCCCAUAUCAAAAAGAAGGUUUACGACCUCGAUGUUGGAUCAGGACAUCCUGAUGGUGCAACCGCUAUUAAGGGUUCGUUUGUUCAACGAUUAAUAGUCCUACGUG
rnacentral:rRNA from 1 species